AGUUCAAUGGUAGAACGAGAGCUUCCCAAGCUCUAUACGAGGGUUCGAUUCCCUUA
rnacentral:tRNA from 1 species